AAAUUGAAGAGUUUGAUCAUGGCUCAGAUUGAACGCUGGCGGCAGGCCUAACACAUGCAAGUCGAACGGUAACAGGAAGCAGCUUGCUGCUUUGCUGACGAGUGGCGGACGGGUGAGUAAUGUCUGGGAAACUGCCUGAUGGAGGGGGAUAACUACUGGAAACGGUGGCUAAUACCGCAUAACGUCGCAAGACCAAAGAGGGGGACCUUCGGGCCUCUUGCCAUCAGAUGUGCCCAGAUGGGAUUAGCUGGUUGGUGAGGUAACGGCUCACCAAGGCGACGAUCCCUAGCUGGUCUGAGAGGAUGACCAGCCACACUGGAACUGAGACACGGUCCAGACUCCUACGGGAGGCAGCAGUGGGGAAUAUUGCACAAUGGGCGCAAGCCUGAUGCAGCCAUGCCGCGUGUAUGAAGAAGGCCUUCGGGUUGUAAAGUACUUUCAGCGGGGAGGAAGGUGUUGUGGUUAAUAACCGCAGCAAUUGACGUUACCCGCAGAAGAAGCACCGGCUAACUCCGUGCCAGCAGCCGCGGUAAUACGGAGGGUGCAAGCGUUAAUCGGAAUUACUGGGCGUAAAGCGCACGCAGGCGGUCUGUCAAGUCGGAUGUGAAAUCCCCGGGCUCAACCUGGGAACUGCAUUCGAAACUGGCAGGCUUGAGUCUUGUAGAGGGGGGUAGAAUUCCAGGUGUAGCGGUGAAAUGCGUAGAGAUCUGGAGGAAUACCGGUGGCGAAGGCGGCCCCCUGGACAAAGACUGACGCUCAGGUGCGAAAGCGUGGGGAGCAAACAGGAUUAGAUACCCUGGUAGUCCACGCCGUAAACGAUGUCUACUUGGAGGUUGUGCCCUUGAGGCGUGGCUUCCGGAGCUAACGCGUUAAGUAGACCGCCUGGGGAGUACGGCCGCAAGGUUAAAACUCAAAUGAAUUGACGGGGGCCCGCACAAGCGGUGGAGCAUGUGGUUUAAUUCGAUGCAACGCGAAGAACCUUACCUGGUCUUGACAUCCACAGAACUUUCCAGAGAUGGACUGGUGCCUUCGGGAACUGUGAGACAGGUGCUGCAUGGCUGUCGUCAGCUCGUGUUGUGAAAUGUUGGGUUAAGUCCCGCAACGAGCGCAACCCUUAUCCUUUGUUGCCAGCGGUUAGGCCGGGAACUCAAAGGAGACUGCCAGUGAUAAACUGGAGGAAGGUGGGGAUGACGUCAAGUCAUCAUGGCCCUUACGACCAGGGCUACACACGUGCUACAAUGGCGCAUACAAAGAGAAGCGACCUCGCGAGAGCAAGCGGACCUCAUAAAGUGCGUCGUAGUCCGGAUUGGAGUCUGCAACUCGACUCCAUGAAGUCGGAAUCGCUAGUAAUCGUGGAUCAGAAUGCCACGGUGAAUACGUUCCCGGGCCUUGUACACACCGCCCGUCACACCAUGGGAGUGGGUUGCAAAAGAAGUAGGUAGCUUAACCUUCGGGAGGGCGCUUACCACUUUGUGAUUCAUGACUGGGGUGAAGUCGUAACAAGGUAACCGUAGGGGAACCUGCGGUUGGAUCACCUCCUUACCUUAAAGAAGC
rnacentral:rRNA from 2 species